rnacentral:rRNA from 1 species
UUACCCACUCCCGGCACGGGGAGGUAGUGACGAAAAAUAACGAUACGGGACUCAUCCGAGGCCCCGUAAUCGGAAUGAGUACACUCUAAACCCUUUAACGAGGAUCAAUUGGAGGGCAAGUCUGGUGCCAGCAGCCGCGGUAAUUCCAGCUCCAAUAGCGUAUAUUAAAGUUGUUGCGGUCAAAAAGCUCGUAGUCGAAUUUGUGUCUCGCGCCGCCGGUUCAUCGUCCGCGGUGUUAACUGGCGUGCCGCGAGACGUCCUGCCGGUGGACCCGAGGCGGUUCGCGCCGCUGAGGUCCAACUCAAUCCUACCGCGGUGCUCUUCAUUGAGUGUCGAGGUAGGCCGGCACGUUUACUUUGAACAAAUUAGAGUGCUUAAAGCAGGCUAAAACUUCGCCUGAAUACUGUGUGCAUGGAAUAAUGGAAUAGGACCUCGGUUCGAUUUUGUUGGUUUUCGGAACCCCGAGGUAAUGAUUAAUAGGAACGGAUGGGGGCAUUCGUAUUGCGACGUUAGAGGUGAAAUUCUUGGAUCGUCGCAAGACGAACAGAAGCGAAAGCAUUUGCCAAAAACGCUUUCAUUGAUCAAGAACGAAAGUUAGAGGUUCGAAGGCGAUCAGAUACCGCCCUAGUUCUAACCAUAAACUAUGCCAGCUAGCCAUCCGUCGACGUUCCUCCGAUGACUCGACGGGCAGCUUCCGGGAAACCAAAGCUUUUGGGUUCCGGGGGAAGUAUGGUUGCAAAGCUGAAACUUAAAGGAAUUGACGGAAGGGCACCACCAGGAGUGGAGCCUGCGGCUUAAUUUGACUCAACACGGGAAACCUCACCAGGCCCGGACACCGGAAGGAUUGACAGAUUGAGAGCUCUUUCUUGAUUCGGUGGGUGGUGGUGCAUGGCCGUUCUUAGUUGGUGGAGCGAUUUGUCUGGUUAAUUCCGAUAACGAACGAGACUCUAGCCUGCUAACUAGGCGUAUUUUGACAUCCUAAAGGCCCGCCGGCUCGGGG